rnacentral:sRNA from 1 species
UGAACAACUUCGAGAGGUGUGCCAUCAA